rnacentral:rRNA from 1 species
AACGCGUGGGAAUCUGCCCUUGGGUACGGAAUAACUCAGAGAAAUUUGUGCUAAUACCGUAUAAUGUCUUCGGACCAAAGAUUUAUCGCCCAAGGAUGAGCCCGCGUAAGAUUAGCUAGUUGGUGGGGUAAAGGCCUACCAAGGCUACGAUCUUUAGCUGGUCUGAGAGGAUGAUCAGCCACACUGGGACUGAGACACGGCCCAGACUCCUACGGGAGGCAGCAGUGGGGAAUAUUGGACAAUGGGCGAAAGCCUGAUCCAGCAAUGCCGCGUGAGUGAUGAAGGCCUUAGGGUUGUAAAGCUCUUUUACCAGGGAUGAUAAUGACAGUACCUGGAGAAUAAGCUCCGGCUAACUCCGUGCCAGCAGCCGCGGUAAUACGGAGGGAGCUAGCGUUGUUCGGAAUUACUGGGCGUAAAGCGCGCGUAGGCGGUUUUUUAAGUCAGAGGUGAAAGCCCAGUGCUCAACACUGGAACUGCCUUUGAAACUGGAAAACUUGAAUCUUGGAGAGGUCAGUGGAAUUCCGAGUGUAGAGGUGAAAUUCGUAGAUAUACGGAAG